UACGGAGGGUGCAAGCGUUGUUCGGAAUCACUGGGCGUAAAGGGCGUGUAGGCGGUCUAUCAAGUCUGGUGUGAAAUCCCCUCGCUCAACGAGGGAACUGCGCCGGAAACUGACAGACUAAAGUACCGGAGAGGAAGGUGGAAUUCCGGGUGUAGUGGUGAAAUGCGUAGAGAUCCGGAGGAACACCAGUGGCGAAGGCGACACGCUGGGCCGUACCUGACACUGAACCGCGACAGCAUGGGGAGCAAACAGG
rnacentral:rRNA from 1 species